CAGUUCGGAUUGCAGGCUGCAACUCGCCUGCAUGAAGUCGGAAUUGCUAGUAAUCGCGGAUCAGCAUGCCGCGGUGAAUACGUUCCCGGGCCUUGUACACACCGCCCGUCACACCAUGAGAGCCGGGAACACCCGAAGUCCGUAGCCUAACCGCAAGGGGGGCGCGGCCGAAGGUGGGUUCGAUAAUUGGGGUGAAGUCGUAACAAGGUAAC
rnacentral:rRNA from 1 species